rnacentral:rRNA from 1 species
GACGUAGGGCGCGAGCGUUGUCCGGAUUUAUUGGGCGUAAAGAGCUCGUAGGCGGCUUGUCGCGUCGACUGUGAAAACCCGCGGCUCAACCGUGUGGUCUGCAGUCGAUACGGGCAGGCUAGAGUUCGGUAGGGGAGACUGGAAUUCCUGGUGUAGCGGUGAAAUGCGCAGAUAUCAGGAGGAACACCCCGUGGCGAAAGGGCGGGCC